rnacentral:pre_miRNA from 12 species
CAAGACGCGCGGGAGCUGAGGACUGGGUCUUUGCGGGCGAGAUGAGGGUGUCGAUUCAACUGGCCUACAAAGUCCCAGUCCUCGGCUGCCGGGACCGCUG